rnacentral:lncRNA from 1 species
AGAAUGUCUGCUUUCCUACCAGGAAGAGUGGCUUGGCCCUCUGCUGAGGCUCUCAGAGGUUCUCCCAGCCUUGGGAUCGCUGAGUAAAACCAGUCAGCACCAUGUCACCCUAUGGAGACUGGUAUUACCUUGCGCCUGUGUGUGGUGACAGCGGGCAUCCUUUGGCCUGCAUAGCAAAGGGCCACUCCCCUCCUUUCCUCCUGUCUCCCUUCUUCCCCAACCCCUCUCUCUUGGAGGACAGAGUCUGCUCCCCUAAAUUCUACUGGGUUCUUUUUCAGGCCUCCAUCCCUGGGAUUUGCUGGUAGAAGAAAGGGAAUCAGCGCUGACUGAGCUCCUACUAUGUGCCCUUCCUGGGCCUGGCACUGGAAUCACAGGAUGAAUGAAUAAGGCAUAUUUCCUGCCCUGAGGAGGCGUCUAUAGGGGAAGUCGGAAUUAAGGCACCUCCAGAAUUCUGAGGUCAAGGGAAUGUCAACAGAGCUGUGAACAAAAUGCCCAAAGCCAUGAAAAUCUACAGAGAGAGACUCGAAGGGGAGGAAUGGGGUAGGAGCUGGUGCCGAGGAUGAGAGGGGAGAAUUCACCUGGUGGAGAACUGAUAGGUGGGGGCUGUUUUCAAAGUAUUUUCACAAACGUUUAUUCUCUUGACUCUCACAAUAAACGAAGCCAGCCAGAAAGUAUUCUCCCCAUUUCAGUGAUAAGGAAAUGGAGGCUCAGAAGGGUGGAAUGGCCCAGGGCAGGGCAAAGCUGGGGUGGAAGCAUCGGUCUUGUGCUUCCACACUCAUUGCACUUUCUUCCAGGCCAGGCUGAGGUCGGGAUGGUGGAGGAGGUGGUGGAGGUGAUGAGGUACCAGAGCAACCUCGAAGAAAGCUGAGAGGCAGGAGACCGCCAAAGGCAAACUUGGAACACCUGGUGACUCCGACUAACUCUCCAUGUGGUGUCCUUGAGGACUUUUAUGAUACUGCUACCACUGCUAAUAGUAAUAAAAGCCACUAUUUAAUGUGUUUACUAUG